rnacentral:rRNA from 1 species
UACGUAGGUGGCAAGCGUUGUCCGGAUUUAUUGGGUUUAAAGGGUGCGUAGGCGGUUCUAUAAGUCAGUGGUGAAAUCCGGCAGCUCAACUGUCGAUGUGCCAUUGAUACUGCAGAACUUGAGUACAGACGAGGUAGGCGGAAUUGACGGUGUAGCGGUGAAAUGCGUAGAUAUCGGAAGGAACACCAGUGGCGAAAGCGGCUUCCUGGUCCGACACCGACGUUCAGGCACGAAAGCGUGGGGAGCAAACAGG